UGUAUUUAAAGUAGAAUAAUCUUACAAGUUACUUUCGAAUCUGUGUCACCAAAGACGCGAAUUUUAUGCAAUAUAAAGAUUCAGUAAUGGGUAGUUUCAGAAUUUACUAAUUUCUAAUGAGGGUAAAUAGUCUAAACGGAUUCUUAUAACAAACCUUCUGACAACUUAAGUAUUACUAUAUUUAACCUGGGGUUCUAAUACCUAAUUAUUCAUAUAAACAUCCAAUUUAACAGCUGGUAUUAAAUAAUUUAAAUUACCCGUUAAAAGAUGAUCGGCUGGCAUACACAAAUCGUUAAAAUGGUACUCCAUUUUCAGAACGUAAAUGCGAUUUUUAUUUGAACAAGGAGUACUUUAGUGACAUGGCGCAGCGAAUGGAUAACGGAUUCUUUACGCCAUUGUACACGGUAUACAAAAGAUGUUGCUAAACGACAAUGAAACUUCUAACGUUCGAAAUAGUUCUUAAAUUACCAUAGUGAUAUUGGGUCAUAUGGAUAUUAAAACAAGUGUCAGUCGCAACGCAAGCGAUUUUGUCUUCUGUCAUAUUGCAUGAGGCAUCUUUCUAAAUUUUAAACGCCCAUGUGUUUGGAUUUAAUAUAUACUAUUCCAGCGUUUUUAUUAUUUAUUUCAACUUUAUUAAGUUCUUAUCCUAGAUCAGCACAUCCAGGCCAUAAUUGUUAAAAUAAAAAAAAAACCUAGAUCAGGAUAUGAGAUAUAUACAACAACUCUUUUCUUUAUAAUAAAAUUAUGGCUACGAGUCAAUGUACGGUGAAGAACCACGUCGAAGGAAAUAGACAUACAGGAUAAACUCGAAAAAAAAGAAGAUUAUGACUUGAUUAUGACCUGAUCCAGUUUCUGAUUUUAUGCAACAUUCCCGGUAUCAAAUUGUUGAUUUUUGGAAGAUAAUAAAGAAUAUUGUUUAUGUUA